AGUGAACGCUGGCGGCAUGCUUUACACAUGCAAGUCGAACGGCAGCGCGGUCUUCGGCCUGGCGGCGAGGGGGGAACGGGUGAGUGAUGCAUGGGAACAUCCCCAUCUGUGGUUGAGUGUCCGUCGAAGACCGGAUUAAUACCGCAGAAGAGCAGACGGUGUACGCGGGGGAGCGAAAGACCUUGCGCUCUUGGGGGGGCGGAUGUGGGGUUGUCUAGUUGGUGGGGUAAAGGCCUACCAAGGCGACGAUCCGUAGCUGGUCUGAGAGGACGAGCAGCCACACUGGAACUGAGACACGGCCCAGACUCCUACGGGAGGCAGCAGUGGGGAAUUUUGGACAAUGGGGGCAACCCUGAUCCAGCCAUGCCGCGUGCGGGAAGAAGGCCUUCGGGUUGUAAAGCGCUUUUGUUCGGGAAGAAAUCCUCUGGGCUAAUACCCCGCGGGGAUGACGGUACCGGAAGAAUAAGCACCGGCUAACUACGUG
rnacentral:rRNA from 1 species